rnacentral:rRNA from 1 species
UGGGGAAUAUUGCACAAUGGGCGCAAGCCUGAUGCAGCGACGCCGCGUGGGGGAUGACGGCCUUCGGGUUGUAAACUCCUUUCGCUAGGGACGAAGCUUUUUGUGACGGUAACUAGAUAAGAAGCACCGGCUAACUACGUGCCAGCAGCCGCGGUAAUACGUAGGGUGCGAGCGUUGUCCGGAAUUACUGGGCGUAAAGGGCUCGUAGGUGGUUUGUCGCGUCGUCUGUGAAAUUCCGGGGCUUAACUCCGGGCGUGCAGGCGAUACGGGCAUAACUUGAGUACUGUAGGGGUAACUGGAAUUCCUGGUGUAGCGGUGAAAUGCGCAGAUAUCAGGAGGAACACCGAUGGCGAAGGCAGGUUACUGGGCAGUUACUGACGCUGAGGAGCGAAAGCAUGGGUAGCGAACAGG